GUCCAGCCUGAAUAAUGCAGAGUAACAAGGAUUCUACUUUUUGCGUAAGUUCCUUUAUACAGUCUAUCAGAACAGAACCUGUGUGUGUGUGUGUGUGUGUGUGUGUGUGUGUGUGUGUGUGUGUGCCCUUUUUCAUGCUCAUAUGCCACCUUUUCAUGCACAUCUGUAAGGAUAUUCUUUACCUAAACCCCAUCUUCACUUGAGCCCACAUUCACAUACAACAUGUAGGUUGGCUUGAAUUAGUGCAUAGUGUCUCAGGUAUACAUGUAAACUGAACUGCAACGUGGAAUACGUGUCAGUGCAGUGGUGCUGGCCUGUUUUUUGUUGUCCAAUGUCAUCAGAUGACUUAUUUUUUCAAAUGGUGGUCUACAUUUCACAGUAUGUUCUUUUUGAGUUGGUCCAUGAACUCCAAAAGGGUCAACAAAUAUUGACUUUAACAGGACAAUGUCCUCCACAGACUUGCUGUUCAAAUACACAACCAGUGUAAUUUAGUUUCAUCAUUAUAUUACGGAUGCUGAGAUGAGAGUGAAAUCACCAGAAAGUAGGUGAUAUAGAGAGUAUUAGUAAGAUAGUUACUGAAAGAGAAUAAUGCUGCUCAGAAGCAUCACUUCUUGCCUCCCAUCUUCAGCAACCAUAGACAACCUGUUCUCAGUUGCCAGGGCAGGCAGCUUGGUUCCUGAUAUCUCUCUGGAUGACACACUGCAAAGCUUCCUAUCCCUGGACUCAAGUGCUGCUCUCGAACAACAUUAUGCAGACAUUCAGCAACACUUGUUUGCUGAACAACUCUCUGUUUUCAACCAGGACCUGACGUCUUUAUUGGGAGGGAACACAAAUGUGGCCUUGGGGGGUGUGGGUGUUGUGGCACUAGCCCUGUCUCUACUCUUUGAUGUCUUAGCCCACAAGGCAAAAAGGCAUGGGGACAGCAAGAAUGCUAUGGACCCUACCAAAAUGAUCUUUGGAAUCGGCAAUUCCUCAAGAAUUGGGUCCCUCAUCAGUGAAUACCUGAAGCUGGUCCCUGAGAUAGCCAAUGACAUGAACAAGAUGGCAGAGGUGACAGAGCUCUAUGACCAGUACCUGAAGUAUGAGCUGAUUGACCAUUUUGAGAGGAUGACGAACAAGAAACGCAUGGGGUCAGUGGCCAUGAAACAGUGGCUGUGUGGGGCCUCUUUCCACCUGCACAUGAGGAUCCAUGAGAUCCGAUUGGGCUCCGUUCCACGAGGCUCAGCAGAAGCACUGCGUCUCUCCUACAAGACUGCAUUCACAAGCCUGGUCAAGCUCUAUACAGCCCACCUACGCAAAAAUAUCCAGGAGAUACCACCAGAGCCAGGAGCCAACAGCAUGCCAGGGCUCCUGGUCGUUGAGCCCCACAGGAACGUCACACACAGAGUUCAACACAGUCCCUGUGAGUCCAAGGUCAUUGAACCCUACAGGAACGUCACACACAGAGUUCAACACAGGCCCUGUGAAUCCAAGGUCAUUGAAGACUUUCUGCUGGCCCGGAUCAUUGCUGCUCAGGACAUUGAGCAGAGUAAAUACUUCUUUCUGCAUACUGAAAGUGACUUUGAUGAUCUGUUAAAGCAACGGGGAGAUUUUGAGCUGAAGAAAUGAAUGAAUAAAAUCAUAUUUAUCUGCAUAAUGCACAGUGGUAGAAAUAAUGAUUUUUACUCUUAUAGUUGGCUUAUUACCAGUAAUUAAUGUCUACUCAUGUUACAAACACAAAAAAUAUUUGAUUACCACAUAAUAAAGUAACAAAAAUUGAGACAAACCAGCAUUCAUAAUGUUCUGUAGUGUGGGACUUCGGCACACAUA
rnacentral:lncRNA from 13 species